UACGUAGGGUGCGAGCGUUGUCCGGAAUUAUUGGGCGUAAAGAGCUUGUAGGCGGUUUGUCGCGUCUGCUGUGAAAAUCCGGGGCUCAACCCCGGACUUGCAGUGAGUACGGGCAGACUAGAGUGUGGUAGGGGAGACUGGAAUUCCUGGUGUAGCGGUGAAAUGCGCAGAUAUCAGGAGGAACACCGAUGGCGAAGGCAGGUCUCUGGGCCACUACUGACGCUGAGAAGCGAAAGCAUGGGGAGCGAACAGGAUUAGA
rnacentral:rRNA from 1 species